CCUACGGGUGGCAGCAGUGAGGAAUAUUGGGCAAUGGGGGCAACCCUGACCCAGCCAUGCCGCGUGAGUGAAGAAGGUCUUCGGAUUGUAAAGCUCUGUCGGACGUGACGAUGAUUGCGGUAGCGUCUAAAGAAGCACCGGCAAACUUCGUUCCAGCAGCCGCGGGAAUACGAAGGGUGCCAGCGUUGUUCGGAAUUACUGGGGGGAAAGGGAGUGUAGGCGGGUAUGUAAGAUAGCGGUGAAAUGCCAGGGCUCAACCCCGGAACUGCCAUUAUGACUAUGUAUCUAGAGUAAAGGAGAGGUUAGCGGAAUACCGAGUGUAGAGGUGAAAUUCGUAGAUAUUGGGUAGAACACCGGUGGCGAAGGCGGCUAUCUGGCCAUUUACUGACGCUGAGGCUCGAAAGCGUGGGGAUCAAACAGGAUUAGAUACCCGAGUAGUC
rnacentral:rRNA from 1 species